UGCUCUGCCUGGCAGUGAAUCCGCGCCGCUGCCCGGCAGGCAUGCCCCGGCCUGCGGCUCUGGAAUGCGGGCGAGCCACCGUCCCGGAGACCCGCCCUUGGUGGCUGGGCUCGAGGCGGCCGGGCCCAGCCCACCGACCCAGCCGCGCACGCUCUGUGUUUGCCCCGGGAGCCGAGCCCACACCCUUCACGCCGCCUUGAUGGUUGCUGAGCAGUUGAACCGACACCCCAAACCCCCGUGUUUCUCUCUGGGCAGAAGCGCCUGUGGCCUCGUGGUGGGAGGCGCUGGAAGGAGAGCGACGGCUCCAGGCACCUGCUGCUUCAAGGAGGUUGUGAACUUUUGGAGAUGCUGUUGGUACGGGGCAGAGCUUGGAGAUCCUCUGCCUCUGAGAAGAGGACAGGAAGGGACACACCCCAGUGGCACAUCCGAUGCUGGUGUGAGUGUUAACACGUCGCGAACUCUCAGGGAACAGUGGCUCCUGUUCCUGGGGCCCCGGGCUCCCCAUCUCUAAAGAUUGGGUUGACCUAGAAAAGCAUGUCGGAAACGUGGGACCCAGGCCGCUGUAGCUGCCAGGACGCUCUGCGUGGGGCAGGCGUGGGGCACAGCGAGAAGGCCGUUCCUUUUCAGCAAUUUUUCUAUCCUUCUGCAUUCAGCUUGGUCCUUACUUGUCUUUAUGGCUGGUCCCCCGCCCUCCUCCACUGCUCACCCCCCCUUUUUAGAGAGAGAGACCAGGCCUCUGGCUCAGAGCCGUGGGCGGGCAACAGCAUUUAAUAACACGAUUUGUCUUCCCUGUGCUCACUUUCAGAGUUAUCUUCUCUUAGUGGCAAGUGAUACUGGUUUUCCAUUUACAUGGAUGAUAGAGAAUUUCCUUUUAAAAUAAACUUAAGUAAAAAAAUAAGGGAUCCAGAGUGUUCUCACGGAGGCCCGGGUCACAUGACCGGCCAGACCACGCCGGAGCGGCUGGAUCUGAGGACAGCCGGGCACUGGGCUGAACGCUUCACACCUCAUCCCCCUCAGUCGCCAUAACAGCCCCUGAGACGCGGCUCAGGGGAGAAAGUGUCACGUUACCGACGAUGUGAGGAGCUCAGGUUCCAGAGUCACUGCGGCCGGGCCCUGUGAGCAGGAAGAACUCCCCAGGUGGUAACUCACUGAAUCCUCCCGAUGGCCCUGAAUUCCUCCCUCUGCUCCGCCUCCUCUGCCCCCACACAGCCAAUCCCUCAGCGAAAGCUGUUGGCUCUGCCCUGAAAAUACCUCCCGAAUCUGGCCUUCUCCCCACCUGCCCUGCUCCCAGCACCCAAGCCACCACCACUUCCUGUCGGGAUUGCUGCCUCCUCCUGGUGGCCCCUCUCGGUCUCCUGCCCACACGCAGUGAGACAGAUCCUUUAAAAACUUAGCGCCAUCCUGUCCUCGCUCUGCUUGGAACCAUCCAGCAGCUCCUCAUCCCUGCACAACCGGAGCCUGCCCACCUCUCCCUCCCCCCCACCUCGCCACCGCUUCCUCUGCUCCCGCCACUUGUUGUUUCUAAAACACCCCCAACCUCAUCCUGCCUCAGGGCCUUUGCACUGGCUGUUCCCUCGGCCCGAAAUGCCCUUCUCCCAGAAAUCUGAAC